GACCGCGAGAUCGUGACCUGGCUGAAGUCAGACGCUUAACUGACUGCGCCACCCAGGCGCCCCUAUGCUCUGUCUUUAAGUUGUGUGGGCAUUGGCCAAAACUCCCACACUCUGAAGCGAAGUGGGUGAGGGUGAUGGGUGAGGGCUGCAUUUACCGUACGGUGGGGGUCUGCUCUGGCGGCCGAGGGCACGGAGCGGUCAGGUCCCGGAAUGCAGCGGGCUCGGGUCGACACUACCAAAGCCCCUCGGCCCCGCAAGGACCAGCUUGUUUCAUUAAAACAAAGGGAAGGGUUUCCUUGGAAAUCCUAUUUUUCCCCAGAUUUCCCUCUUGGCUGCUUCUGUGGCCACACAUGUUUCCGAUGAGUCCACAUUCAAAUGAAUUUCAGCCGACAAAUAACUCGAUACAGCUCUUUGGUGGGAGAGAAUUCCUUCGGGAUGAGGUCGUGGUUUGGCUACAGUAAAAUUAAAAAUAACCCAGAACCCCCCGCCGCCCAGGCUGGCAUCAAACCAGGACAGUGCAUUUGGGAACCAUUAUCGGGUUUAUCGGGGUAACAUAUCGCAGAAAACCUGCUUCUGUUUAUAGACCAUUUUAUUAUUCCGUUUUGACAUUUCCCUUUUUUCUUCAACCUUUCUCCCCCUUAAGCAAAUAUCUAUUAGACUGAAUUGAAAUGUGAUCCAACCAAAUAUACUGUUUUUCAACUUCAGGCUAAAGCAGGUCUGACUAGAAGCAGAAACGCUUAAGUGAAAAGUUAUGAUUUACUUUCUUUCUAAAGGGAAACAGUGUCAGAAGGAGAAUUUUAUGUGACAAGGGAGCUUGUGGAGCACGGAGCAGGGGGCUGGCGGCUGACGGGGGGCCUGGGAAAGCCCUGGAGCUUAGAAGGCCAGGAACGACCCUGCCCGAGCACCCCCGGGGGGAACACUGGGAAGAGUGCACAGGCAGAACCUGCUUUUUCCAAAUCGGCAAAAUCCCCAGGUUGGAUUGUACAUAUGUGAAUGGUCAGAUCAGGAAGAAAACCUAGAGGUGGUUGACCUCCCUCCACCCCUGUUAUCUUACUAUCGGGUAAACUGAGGCCCACAAGGCUGCAGUGACUCGCCCAAGAUAACUACGCUGAACUCUGGAGCUCAGCACAUGUGAGUUUGAGGACCAGCUCUACCACAAGACCCUGGGCAAGAGACUCAACUUUCUUGUGUCUCAAGUCCAUUGUCUAUGAAAUGGGGUGAUGACUGUUUGUGCCCUGCCUAUGUCAGACGGUGAUGGAAAGAUCCAAUGGAGAAACAGCCAAUAGAGCAAUUACUUCCUGAGUGCUUUUUCUGUCCUGUGCGCUGUUCCAACCCUUCACACACCCACCGGCUACUCACAGCAAUCCUACCAGGUAGAUUCCAGGAUGGUCCCAAUCCUGAAGAUAAGAGAGCUGCGUGAGGCUCAGAUAAGUUCAGUGACACGACCACAGUCAGGUCGUUGGAGGACGGUAGAUACUUGAUUUGAACCUGGAGCAUCUGAUACGAGAGUCUGUGCUCUUGACCUUGACGUGAGUGGGUCUCUGUGACCACUUAAAUCAGAACCCCGAUUCAAGGGUGAAAUGUGAAGUCCAUGCUCAGCCGGGACAGAAGCCCAGGUCUUCUGAGUCUUGACCCUUUCUCCUGUGUCCUUUGCCAGGGCCCGAACUGUCCAGCUUCCAUCUCCAACUGGGGAGAAGGCCAGGCUGCUUUCCUGCCCCUGUUGUCAGGCCUGGAGCAACAGAUGCAAUGAUGGAAUGGAAAGGUGAUUUGGACUCUCCGCGAACGCAGCAAAGUACAGACCCGGAAGGAAUGUGUGCUGGCGAGUGCUGGGGGCUCCAGAGGUGGGCCUGCCCUGAAGGCUGACACGCGUAACAGCAUUUCCUGGCUCCCCCAGUGGAAGGCCGUGGGUUUGGUAGGAAGAAUUCAUGUGGCAUCUAAAAAUCUCAUUUGAACUCCAACGCUACUGUUUGUUAGCUGUGGGGGCUCCGGAUCGGUCAACAUCUUUGAACCACAAUUUCUUCAUCCUUUGAAUGAAGUUAAUGGGAGGGGUGAAAUAAGGUUAUAAACAUAAAGGUGACUUGACAAAAUGUAAAGACCAUAUAAAAUGUUAACUAUUGUCAUACUAAUUGAUGCUAUUGUGCCAAAUAUCAAUUUAUUGCCUGUUAGCUCCAAAUUCACCUUUUACUGCUUGCUCUGUGAUGAUGAAGGACCCUGGAAAUAUUUUCCCUUUGUCAGCUCAUGCAAUGUUUAGCUUUUCCAGUAGAGGGUGCAGAAGGGACAGGUCAAGAAGAAGGGACUUCACUCUGGUGGGCUGCUUCCUCCUCCUACCAUUCUGCUGCCAGAGUCACAUUUAGGGACAUCUAAUGGGGCUCCCCCUAUCAAGUUGUGGUGGCCACCCUAUGGACAGUUUCCCUCUGACUUUCAGUGCCACCUCUAAGGGAUCACAGGCUCUCCAGCGGCCAGCUCCCAGCUUUGCCUGCAUCACGGUAGGUUUCCAGCUUGUCAGUCAUGCCUGUGGUUUCUUGCCUCCCAUCUUUGGCCCGCAAGCACCAAGGAGGAGACUUUCUUUCUUACCAAUUCCAGCUGUGGGCCCCUGCCCAUCUGUCUCAGCCUCCUUAUGCCUGGGAGGGGUAUUUCAGUUGUAGUUCCCUGUCCACCACCCUCGUCCUGGUGUCUGGGCAUCAGCUUUGACCUGGGACAAGCCACUGAGCUUCUCUGCUGUCCACAGAGUACAACCUACACCUUCUCCAAUGAGGAGAGUCCCAUCCUUGGAGAAAGCCUUCUGCCUUCCCAGUUUAUUUCUCCCACAGAUGCCCUCCAUCAACCUUAGGGAAUUCUUAGGUGACUCAUCAAUCCUUUAUAGAUGAACUGUAGCUAUUGUUCUAGUUAGUCAUUAUUUAUGUUACAUUUUCUCUGUUCAAAUAACUGUAUGCAUUCUGUCUCCUGAUUGUGCCCUGGCUGAUGGAGAACUGUUGUGGCAAGUAGUCUCAGGAGAUAGACCCACAAAGAUGAGAUUUAAGGAUUGGUUUGGUUGUGUCUUUAAACUUGAAUGUAGUGCUGGGUUUUUUGGUUUUGUUUCCUAAUGGGAAAUGAGAAGCUAGUGGUCCAUGGCAUGCAGUGGCCUGCUGGUUAGUCAAGCUGUCACCUGUGGUUGAAUGUGGUGAGGUGCCAACUGAAGACAUGCCUUGGGAGCCCAAGUGGCUCCUGCACAUGACCAUUUGGUAGUAAUGAUGACCACGGGAGCUGUGGUGUGGGAGGACUCUUCUGAGUACAAGCGAGCAAUUUCAGAACAAAAAAUGACAAACUCUAGUCCUUUAACUAUCAACUCAAGUCAUAUGUUAAGGAUCAGAAAGACCCUAAAAUAUGCUGUUUUUUCUUAUAACUACAGGGCUACUAUUAGGAAAAUCAACAAAAAAAUGUAUUGGGCAGGUUGCUGAAUUAAAAUGGCAGUUGUAUUCAAA